rnacentral:rRNA from 1 species
GAUGAACGCUAGCUACAGGCUUAACACAUGCAAGUCGAGGGGCAGCAUUUUAGUUUGCUUGCAAACUAAAGAUGGCGACCGGCGCACGGGUGAGUAACACGUAUCCAACCUGCCGAUAACUCGGGGAUAGCCUUUCGAAAGAAAGAUUAAUAUCCGAUGGUAUAUUAAAACCGCAUGGUUUUACUAUUAAAGAAUUUCGGUUAUCGAUGGGGAUGCGUUCCAUUAGUUUGUUGGCGGGGUAACGGCCCACCAAGACUACGAUGGACAGGGGUUCUGAGAGGAAGGUCCCCCACAUUGGAACUGAGACACGGUCCAAACUCCUACGGGAGGCAGCAGUGAGGAAUAUUGGUCAAUGGACGAGAGUCUGAACCAGCCAAGUAGCGUGAAGGAUGACUGCCCUAUGGGUUGUAAACUUCUUUUAUAUGGGAAUAAAGUAUUCCACGUGUGGGAUUUUGUAUGUACCAUAUGAAUAAGGAUCGGCUAACUCCGUGCCAGCAGCCGCGGUAAUACGGAGGAUCCGAGCGUUAUCCGGAUUUAUUGGGUUUAAAGGGAGCGUAGGUGGAUUGUUAAGUCAGUUGUGAAAGUUUGCGGCUCAACCGUAAAAUUGCAGUUGAAACUGGCAGUCUUGAGUACAGUAGAGGUGGGCGGAAUUCGUGGUGUAGCGGUGAAAUGCUUAGAUAUCACGAAGAACUCCGAUUGCGAAGGCAGCUCACUAGACUGCAACUGACACUGAUGCUCGAAAGUGUGGGUAUCAAACAGGAUUAGAUACCCUGGUAGUCCACACAGUAAACGAUGAAUACUCGCUGUUUGCGAUAUACAGUAAGCGGCCAAGCGAAAGCAUUAAGUAUUCCACCUGGGGAGUACGCCGGCAACGGUGAAACUCAAAGGAAUUGACGGGGGCCCGCACAAGCGGAGGAACAUGUGGUUUAAUUCGAUGAUACGCGAGGAACCUUACCCGGGCUUAAAUUGCAUUUGAAUAAUCUGGAAACAGGUUAGCCGCAAGGCAAAUGUGAAGGUGCUGCAUGGUUGUCGUCAGCUCGUGCCGUGAGGUGUCGGCUUAAGUGCCAUAACGAGCGCAACCCUUAUCUUUAGUUACUAACAGGUCAUGCUGAGGACUCUAGAGAGACUGCCGUCGUAAGAUGUGAGGAAGGUGGGGAUGACGUCAAAUCAGCACGGCCCUUACGUCCGGGGCUACACACGUGUUACAAUGGGGGGUACAGAAGGCAGCUACCUGGUGACAGGAUGCUAAUCCCAAAAACCUCUCUCAGUUCGGAUCGAAGUCUGCAACCCGACUUCGUGAAGCUGGAUUCGCUAGUAAUCGCGCAUCAGCCAUGGCGCGGUGAAUACGUUCCCGGGCCU